GACUCACGCGGGAAUCUUACCGGGUCCGGACACACUGAGGAUUGACAGGUUUCGAGAGUUUUUUUGGAGUUCGCUCCAGAAUGCUCUCUUAAAUAUGCUAGUCCUUUCAUGAUUAUGUGAUAGGUGGUGCAUGGCCGUUCUUAGUUCGUGGAGUGAUCUGUCUGCUUAAUUGCGUUUCACUAAAGGCGUCAUUAUAUUUUUGUGCUUGUGUUUGACCCCUCUUUCUUCGGAUUGAGCGCGUGUCUUUCACACACAAUUACUUUGACGUCUGAAAGCAACGAACGUGACCGUAACCUCUUGUUGCCUUCUCUUCUCUUCGGAGAAUGCUAGUUUUUUUCUUCGGAUAAAUUCUAGUAUAUGGAGGCUUUUACUCAAACUAGAGGGACCGCUGUUACUUUCUUUAAACCAGAGGAAGGUUGCGGCAAUAACA
rnacentral:rRNA from 1 species